GGGGAUGUAGCUCAGUGGUAGUGUAUUUGCCUAGCAUGCAUGAGAUCCUGGGUCCAAUCCCCAGCACUGCCA
rnacentral:tRNA from 1 species